GUGAGGAAUAUUGCACAAUGGGCGAAAGCCUGAUGCAGCAACGCCGCGUGAGUGAUGAAGGCCUGUGGGGCGUAAAACUCUGUCCUUGGGGAAGAAAAAAAUGACGGUACCCUUGGAGGAAGCCCCGGCGAACUACGUGCCAGCAGCCGCGGUAAUACGUAGGGGGCAAGCGAUAUCCGGAAUUAUGGGGCGUAAAGAGUGCGUAGGUGGUUUUGUAAGCGUAGGGUGAAAGGCAGUAGCUCAACUAUAGUUAGCCCUGCGAACUGUGAGACUUGAGUCCAGGCGAGGAAAGUGGAAUUCCUAGUGUAGCGGUGAAAUGCGUAGAUAUUAGGAGGAACACCAGUGGCGAAGGCGACUUUCUGGACUGUAACUGACACUGAGGCACGAAAGCGUGGGUAGCAAACAGGAUUAGAUACCCGUGUAGUCC
rnacentral:rRNA from 1 species